GGUUAAUUUUUCAUGGUGUACAGAAUUACCCUGUGGGGCAGGAGCAUUACCUAUAGGUUCUUCCAACUAUAAGUGGAUGUGGUCAAGAGAGAACCCUAUUUUAAAGCCUUUGAAGUAUGUGAAUACACCUCCUCAACAAACCCAUUCAUACUUGUUCCAGUGCGCAAAGGGAAACAAUUUACUG